ACAGCCAUAUGACUUUGAAACACCAGUUCCCAUAUGAUCACUGAAGUUAAGCAAUGUCAAGCCUGGUCAGUACCUAAAUAGGUAACCACUUGGGAAUAGAAGGUGUAGA